rnacentral:rRNA from 1 species
AUUGAACGCUGGCGGCAGGCCUAACACAUGCAAGUCGAACGAGUGGCGGACGGGUGAGUAAUGUCUGGGAAACUGCCCGAUGGAGGGGGGUAACUACUGGAAACGGUAGCUAAUAACGCAUACCAUCGGAUGUGCCCAGAGGGGAUUAGCUAGUAGGUGGGGUAACGCCUCACCUAGGCGACGAUCCCUAGCUGGUCUGAGAGGAUGACCAGCCACACUGGAACUGAGCCACGGUCCGUACGCCUACGGGAGGCAGCAGUGGGGAAUAUUGCACAAUGGGCGCAAGCCUGAUGCAGCCAUGCCGCGUGUAUUAAGAAGGCCUUCAGGUUGUAAAGUACUUUCAGCGAGGAGGCGUUACUCGCAGAAGAAGCACCGGCUAACUCCGUGCCAGCCGCCGCGGUAAUAC